AGGACGAACGCUGGCGGCGUGCUUAACACAUGCAAGUCGAGCGGAAAGGCCCUUCGGGGUACUCGAGCGGCGAACGGGUGAGUAACACGUGAGUAACCUGCCCUAGGCUUUGGGAUAACCCUCGGAAACGGGGGCUAAUACCGGAUAUUCACUUUUGUGGCAUCACAAUUGGUGGAAAGUUUUUCGGCCUGGGAUGGGCUCGCGGCCUAUCAGCUUGUUGGUGGGGUGAUGGCCUACCAAGGCGACGACGGGUAG
rnacentral:rRNA from 1 species